ensembl:lncRNA
AAUAUAUAUUUAUAUAUGAAGUAUAUAUACUUUUGCUUCUUAUGUUUAUAUGUUAUUAAACAGCUGGCAGUAUUCACUUCUGCGGCCUUAAGAAAGUGUUAAAAUGAUGUGUGUAUGUGGCCAUGAGGGUCAUCACAGAUAUGCUCCACUGAUGUGCUAAAAUGCUUACAUAUAAUAGGUCUUAAUACUCUACCUCCUGGUUCUCUCUGUGAAAUAGCAGUUAGAUAUAUUUGUUUAAAAUGUAUACAUAAUAUGGUAAUAAAGACUACAGGUAGUCAUUCCUUUGCACAGUUCUGACAUGCAUGAAUUUUAGUUACCACAUUUUAUUUUACCAUGUGUAACAUUUUAUAAUUUUACUUACUGUGAGAUAAGAGAAAAUAUAUAUUGGUCUCUGCCACCAAGUUCCUGGCACAGGGCUCCUGAAACCAUUGUAAUUUCCUGAGUGAAAGGAGUGUCUUUCGUUCUAAUGAGGCAACUCUGGGUGGGCACCUGCAUGAGGGCUGGUCACGGGAAAGAAUAAGUCAUAAUUAGAUGCUUGGAAUUUUCAGCCCCUCCCCCUAUUCUCUUGAGAAGGAAGAAGGGCUGAAAAUAGAGUUAAUUAUCGAUCAUUCCUACAUGAUGAAGCCUCCAUAAAAAUCCCAAUAGUAUGGGGUCCAGAGAGCUUCCAGGUCAGUGAACACAUCCACGUACAAGGAGGGUGACACACAUCAACUCCACGGGGACAGAAGCUCCUGUGCUCCAGACCGUCCCAGACCUCACCCUAUGUAUCUCUUCAUCAGAUCUUUCAAUAAACUAGUAGAUGUCAGUGUUUCCCUGAGUUCUUGCAAACUGUUCUAGCAAAUAAUCAAGUCCAUGGGGCAGGAGGUCAUGGGAAAGUCGAUUUGUAGCCAAGUCACACAGAAGUUGUGGAUAAGCUGGGGUCCUACUACUUGCGAUUGACAUCUAAAGUAGGGGCACUCUUGUGGGACUGAGCCCUUAACCUGUGGGAUGUGAUGCUAUCUCCAGGUAAUAGUGUCAGAAUUAAAUAGUAGGAUGACACCCAGCUGGUGUCGCAGAAUUGCUUCAUGUGGGGAAAAAACCCCACAUGUUUGGUGGCCGGAAGUGUCAGCAGUAAAGCGUCCUGUGUGAAAGUAAAGGAGAAGGGCACAGGAGGAGAACUGAAGGUUUCUGCAAUACAGUCACCAAGUGUAUUAGUUUCCUAGUGCUGCUGUAACAAAGUGCCACAAACUGAGUGACUUAAAACAACCGAAAUUUAUUCUCUUAGAGUUUUUCUGGAGGUAGAAGUCUGGUGUCGGCAGAGCCCUCAUUCCUUGCCCCUUAGAGCUUCUGGCAGCCCCAGGUGCUCCUUGGUUAAUAGCCACAUAACUCCAAUCUCUGCCUCCAUCUUCACACGAUGUUCUUCCUACCCAUCUUCACGUUGUCUUCUUACAAGGACAUGAGUCAUGCUGGAUUAAUGGCCCAUCCUAUUCCAGGAUGACCUCAUCUGAACUAAUUACAUCUACAACAACUCUGUUUCCAAAUAAGUUCACAUUCUAAAGGACGAGGGGUUAAGACUUCAAAUUAUUUUUCAGGAUCACCAUUCAACUCACAGCACAACGGUUUCACUAAAUAACACCAGUCCCCCAACAACAUGUUUCACAUUUCAGUUACCAUGGUAUAUUAACUGUGAGUAAUUGCAUAAAGUAAAAACCGUGCUGAUAGCUUUUGUUAAAAACAAGGCAACGGGCCCCAAAUGGAGUUGUUUAUUCUAAGCCCCAGAUCACCAAGCUGAGACUUGACCGAAUUACAGUUUCAGCUCUCCCCGAAAUGGAAUCUUAAACCAGUCAGUCAGGGAUCAGCUGAUAGCACUAGUUAGUAAUCUGCUGAUAGAACCCUGCCAUCUCCCAAAGGAAAGUAACCUUGCUGUAACCAACUCACUUUUUUGCCUAGUAUAACUUCCUUGUUCCUGCUCCCUUCUGCCUAUAAAAGUCUUUCAUUUUGUACCGCUCCUCAGAGCUCCUUUCUGUCUGUUAGAUCGGAUGCUGCCCGAUUCAAAUUGAUUUUUGUUCAAAUAAACUCAAAAUUUUUAAUAUACCUCCGUUUAUCUUUUAACAGUCUUCAGCACAAAAAUCACUAUGUAAAUAACAGACGCACAUCAUCAUCAGUGACCAAUCACGUCACUUCUUCAAAGUCUGUCGGUGACGGAUCACUGCGCAUAUCAUAGGAGUAGCAUUGCAAUAAGCAGCUAACACCCUUAAUGCUACAGAAACCAAGGAAAGAGGUUGGAAUUAUUAAAACUUAAAAGUUUAGAGAAAACUCCAUGUAGAGCUAAAAUCUAGACUUCUGAGGAAUAGGCGCUGAGGGGGCCGCAGUCAGUUGCUGCUGGUGUCUCUGAGGGUAUUGGAGGCAAAUUAAGUUCAUUCUGCUACUGCUGGGAAGUCUGCAAACUAGAUUCAGCUGCUUCUACAAGCAGGCACUGCUGCUGCCAGGGUGAAGAAGCAUUGUUGGGGUGAUGCUCACAGGAACCACAAGGAGACAGGAAGCAGACAGGAAGUGCCAUCCAAACAGAUGUGAGGUGAUAUCUCAUUGUGGUUUUGGUUUGCAUUUCCCUGAUGAUUAGCGAUGCUGAGCACCUUUACCUUGAUGAAUUUUGAAGAGAUAUUCUGGAGAAAGAUUCAAAUCUGUGUGAACACAUCUGCUAAGUGAUCCACUAUUUUUUUGUGGCUUCUUGUGAUGGAGGGGUGAGCAUGAUUCAAGGUCUCCUUCUCUAGACUGCUGUGUGCUCUGAGAGGCAGAGGCUGGCCUAUAUGAACUGUACCAACAAGCUUCCUUGCUCUCUGGCUUCCUAUUGGAUCUGGCCAGGGGGGAGCAUCCAAAGGACAUCAGAGGGCAGGAAAAGACAUGGAGAGACCGUCUGCCUGUGACCAUCCUGGACAACGCCUGCUCGUCUCUCAGCAUCUCCGCUCAGUCCUGCUUCCUUGGUGAAGUCUUCCACAACUCCCAAGGUGGAGAGUUCGGAGAAGACAACCACACCCUCACUUCUGGAGGUAGAUCGUCAUUAGUUUAAGCCAAUCAACAGAUGACAUUCCUCUGGCUACAAUUGGUCCAGGGAAGAAAGAGAGACACUAGGGAUACAUGAGCACAGAUGAAAGGCCAUGUGAGGACACAGCAAGAAGAUGGGGACCAUCUGCAAGCCCAGGAGAGAGGCCUCAGGAGAAACCAGCCCUGUUGACACCUUGAUCUUGGACUUCCAGCCUCCAGAGCUGUGAGGAAUAAAUUUCUGUUGCUUUAGCCCUCCAGUUUGUGGUGUUUUGUUUCGUUAGCCCCAGCAGACUAAUACAUAAGGUAAUACAUUUUCUCACUGCUUAAGAAAUGUUGAGUUGAGAUUUUCUAUUACUUGCAGCCAGAAUCAUUUUGACACAGGAUAUUCGUGAUCUCCUUCCCUGCCCCUUUCUGCAAGUCUUUUUUUUUUUUUAAGAUUGUCACCGGAGCUAACAUCUGUUGCCAGCCUUCUUUUUCUUCUUCUUCGUCUUCUCCUCCCCAAAGCCCCACAGUACAUAGUUGUAUAUUCUAGCUGUAGGUCCCUCUGGCUGUGCUAUGUGAGAUGCCAUCUCAGCAUGGCUUGAUGAGCAAUGCCAUGUCCCCACCCAGAAUCUGAACUGGUGAAACCCUGGGCCACCGAAGCGGAGGGUGCAAACUUAUCCACUUGGCCAUGGGGCUGGCCCCUCUGCAAGACUUCUCUAUGCUGCUUUGUCACUUGUUUUCUGUUUCUCAGGGCACAGAAGCCAGUUGUUUCUAUUGCAUCCUUGCCUUUAGAUGGGGUUUCUAGGAAAAUAAUUUAAAAAGACAUAUUUGGGUCCAUAUGUGCCAAUUCCAAAAUCUCAGAAGAGAAAGCCAGAUUGGUGCAGCUUGGGUCUGGUUAGCACCCUUGAACCAAUCAGCUGAGGCUAAGAGGACAGGAGACAUGGAGUAGUUGAAAGGGAUUAUGGGAGUAAACUCUUAGAGAAAGAGAAUGGGCAUGUUUCUCUUAUAGGAGAUAUGGGGACAAGCAGGAAAUAAUUGGCUUUUUGAAUAUAGAAAUCUUAUUCAUCAUUAUAUUCCUAGUCCCUAGCACAUAUAAUGGAUCUGAGUAAAUCUGACUUAAACUAAGGAAUAAAAGAUGGGCAAUUGCUGGAAUAUAGAAAAAUAUUGAAUCCAUCUUUGUUUAGUGAAAGAGACACAGAUCUAUCUUGGUCUGUGUAGUGGAUGGUGUGGUUUGUAGUCCAGACACCCUCUCCCAGCCCAAGCCUGAAGAACUCAUUCCUCCAGCCGCUGGGAGUACUGGCAGCUGAUGUGUUUCAGCUGAGUCUCUCUCAGAAUUUUCCUUGGCUAAAGAGUGCUUCCUAGUCCAAGGCCAGGCCUCCUUCCGGGAGGCAAUUCAUGUCCAAAAACUGGUGAAUGCGGAGAUAUACAGACCUAGCCUUGUUGUUUCAACUUGGGCAACUCUGGAGAACUCAUCCCGACUCCAGAGCUCCUGAUAGGAUGGCCUGUGGCAUUUGUUUCGUCUGAAUCACAGUUCAGCUUUUCUCAUUGCACAACCUUGUUUCUUUAUUUCCCCACAGGAGUUGAUUCUAAGAGUAAUCCCCGAUAAAGCUCCCGCAGGCAAAUCUCUGCCUCAGAAUUUGGUUCAUGGUGAAUUCAUCCCGCAACAACUGGUGCCUGAGUGUCUGAGAUAGCAGACUCUAAGAGGGGACUUUGGAAAUGGAUCACUCAUGGGCCAAGUAUCAACGGGAGCCCCGUCCAUGUUGGUAGAAAUAGCAAAUAGUCCAUGGCAUGCUGUAGCAGGACAAUGUUUAAAACUUUCACCAAUGGUGAACUUGGAUCGUAUAUCAGCGGAAGGAAUGCACUGAUGGAUUCAAAGUAACACUCAUUUCAGAAUGACAGAGGAAAUAAUAAAUACAAGGACAAUGAAAUUGGUUGGUUAUUUCUGAGGGCCAUGGAAUCUCUGAAGAAACAUAAUGAAAGGGUGAUUAGUUAUCAAUUAAAGGCUAAGUACGAAAGCCAGAGGGCCUCCUUGGUAGCAUAAAAGAGACUCAUCUUCUGCAGCUGUAGGUCCCCAAAAAGCUGAGGGUGACAAGAGUAGCAGAGCUCUAGAGAGAAUUAAAUUCUCAGCCACAGCAAGUCUGCUCUGCUCAAGUCAGGGCUCUGACUGGGGAGGAGCAGGCUCCUGAGAUAGGGGAUGGAGAUGUCUGGCUUGAUGCACUUGACAGUAUUAAAUCCUCAGAUUCCUCUCCAGACGUGGCUCACUCUGUUAAAGGCUAAUUCUCUCCCUUCAGGGAAGUAGACAGUUCUCUCCCUAAAUAAGCAAGUAGACAAUGACUGUUUAUGUCACCCAGGCUCUGUCAUCAGUCACCCCAGUGCUGGGUACUGCGUACAGGAACAGGGUAGACAUGGUAGCAAGGACAGAGCCCACGCCCUGGUCCUACAGAAUGGGUUGCCACAUACCAGGACUGAUCCAGCUGUUGUUGCUGCCAAAUGCUGCUGAGACCAACCCUAGGCCCCUGAUAUGCCACUUGGUGGCAAGUUAACUACAUUGGAUCUAUUUCAGCAAUUCAUCUCGACUGGAACUGACACACAUUCUGGGUACCACUCGUGUCUAUAGGACCUCAUCCAGCAUCAUUAUCUGAGAGCAUACAAAGUGUUUCAUUGCUGACAUGGGAUCCUGGGUGACAUCUCAUUGGACUAGGGGACCCAUGUUACAGCAUAGGAGAUAUAGCAGUUCAUACAUGAUCUUAAGAUCCGCUAGCCCUAUCACAUACUAUUCCACAGAGAGGCUGCUGGUUUGAUAAAGUGAUGGAACAGCUUUGAUUAAAAACAGAUGUAAUAAAACCCAUUGAGGUGCCAGCUUGGAGAGAACUCAGAGAGGAUGUGGGCACCAGUCUCCAGGAUCAGUAUAUAUCUUUUUUUUUUUUUGAGGAAGAUUAGCCCUGAGCUAACUACUGCCAGUCCUCCUCUCUUUUGCUGAGGAAGCCUGGCCCUGAGCUAACAUCCGUGCCCAUCUUCCUUUACUUUAUAUGUGGGACCCCUACCACCGCAUGGCGUGCUAAGCCGUGCCGUGUCCGUACCCGGGAUCCGAACCGACGAACCCGGGGCUGCCGAGAAGCGGAACGUGUGAACUUAACUGCUGCGCCACCAGCCAGGCCCCUCAGUAUAUAUCUUAAAUCAACUAGCAUUGUAUAAUGUUGAGUCUCCAGUAAGCAGAUGUGAUAGAGUCAUUUACAGCUGGACUGGAAAGACUGUCUCUUUGUCUCUGGAGGUGUCUGGUUUUCGACUCUUAGCCAAGAUAAGAGCAGUGGGAUUUAUGAUGUGCUGUCAAAGGCCUGAAACUCCCAAGGCCAAUUUCUUUACUGACAGUCUUCAACUGGCCUAACCGGCUUGACAAGCCUGGCCAAGAGUGCAUGAAAACUCCAUUGGGAACUUCUGCAUUUAGACUUCCCAAAGCUAAGCUUCCUUGCACAGAUAUUUGGUGGUUUGACCCAGAUUCAGAGUGCAAUUGUGUUCGAAUAAGGACCCUGGGAAGUUAUAUAUGCAAUAUCUCUGAGACUUCCAAUGUAUGCUCAAGCUUGCCAUCUCUUACUGCAACGUAUUAUUUGCCUUUAAAUAAAAGCCGUAAGUGAGUCUGCUUAGUCCUUUCAAAUCUCUGAACUUGGGAAAUCUUUGCAGUAAAAUAUAUGGGUCUGGGAAACAAUGGAUGAGUGCAGGAUUGGCUCCACUAACCAUCACUCCCCAGUAACGCACUGGGGAAGCUGUGUUCACUGUCUCUGAAACUCUGCAGAUUUGAGAUCCUGCUUCUCAAAGAGGAAACACUAGGGGACACAGCAAGUGUUUCAUUAAACCUUAAGCUAUAGCUGUCACUCAGUUUCUUCAAACUCAUUGUGCCAAAAGACUUGCAGUCAAGGAAAGGAUUCACCAUCCUGGGAGAAGUAAUUAACUCUCAUCAUCAGGAAAGAAUAUGUUUGGCAACCAUGUGAUCUACUUGGCUUCUUGAUACUCCCUUGCCCAAUUUUUUUUUUUUGAGGAAGAUUAGCCCUGAGCUAACAUCUGCUGCCAAUCCUCCUCUUUUUGCUGAGGAAGACUGGCCCUGAACUAACAUCUGUGACCAUCUUCCUCUACUUUAUAUGUGGAACACCUGCCACAGCAUGGCUUGCCAAGCAGUGCUAUGUCCGCACCCCGGAUCGGAAGCACCAAAGCGGAACGUGUACACUUAACUGCUGUGCCACUGGGCCGGCCCCCCAGUUUUGACUGUGAAUGAACAAGUAAAAUAAGCACAUCUGGAGAAGGGGAUGAUGACCAGGGUCUUAGACCCCACAGGAAUGAGGUUCUGGGUCACCCCACCUAGGUAAACCACGUAGGCCAGAAGGGGUAAAGGGAAUCUAGAAGUGGUAGUAGCGGACAAUGAUGAUGAGUGUUAGUUAUGGUCUUGAGCUAAGCUGCACGGUGGGUGCUGGAGUGCAUUUCACUAACCUUUCUCUCACAAUUCUUUCCCCAACUCCCUGCUUCCAACAGGUCCUUUAAAAUCCUAGAGGAGCUGCUCUUAGAACUUAUUUGAAGCGAGUGGAUCCGAGAAGCCCAGGGAUGGACUGUGGACCACCCAGACCCCCAAAGGCAGGACGGAAGCUCCGAGUCCCCCAGCUGCUGAGAAUGGUGUCAGCCAACAGUUCUCUGCCGAGCCUUUCUCCAGGACCCGGCCUUGGUUGAAGAGUGCCGCCUUGCCGGAGGCCUCCCCCGUCCCAGGCGUAGCUCAUACCCAAUGUCUGGUUGUUGUGGGGAUAUAAAAUCCUGAUCCUCUUGCCCAGUUUGGAGUAACUCUGGAGUGUCAUCCUGUCCCUAGAGUUCCCUUUAGGAUUAGCUGAGGCCUUUGUUGUGACUGUGUCACUGUUCAACUUUUCUCUCUGCUCAGUUUUACUUCUUUUCCACCCCCAGAGGUUUUGUCGUUGAGAGUGCUCCGCACUAAACAUUCUGCACUCAAUCUCUGUCACAGUUUGCUUUUCAGGGAACUCAGCCAUCUGAAGGCAUCUUUCCAAACCCGGCCUAGUCCCCACGGAGCCCGUAAUUGCCCUCUCACUUUUGAUGGAAGACUACAACGGUUCUCAAACAGUAUUUCAAGGAAGCUCUGGGUGGAGGUGCUUCACUGCAAGUGUUUAAUUUCAAUAGCAUUCCUGAAAGACCAUUUUAACCAUGAAAACCACAAAAACCAACAAUAAGCACUAUUGCAACGAUAAAAACUAUUUUAAAACUGUGAACACAGAAAUGUAAAUGUGUUCUAUACUAAAUUUUACACAUCUUUGACAGUGUAUUAACUUGUGGUGCCAGCUCAUAUCAUUUCCGGGCAGACCUCAGAAGAAAGUUUCUCUUUCAUUAUGGCGCAUAUAUUUCAACUCUUAAAAUGUGUUGCCUAAUGAUGGGGACACAUUCUGAGAAACGCGUCGUUAGGUGAUUUUGUUGUGCCAACAUCAUAUAGCUUGCUUACACAAACCUAGAUGGUAUAGCCUACUACACACCUAGGCUGGAUGGUACUAAUCUUACAGGACCACCGUCAUACACACGGUUCGUCGUUGACUGAAAUGCCGUUAUGUGGUGCAUGACUGUAAUUAUUAUUAUUAUUUUUUAAAGAUUUUAUUUUUUCCUUUUUCUCCCCAAAGCCCCCCGGUACAUAGUUGUACAUUUUUAGUUGUGGGUCUUUCUAGUUGUGGCAUGUGGGAUGCCGCCUCAGCAUGUCCUGAUGAGUGGUGCCAUGUCCGCGCCCAGUAUUCGAACCAAAACCCUGGACCACCACAGCGGAGCACACGAACUUAACCACUCGGCCACAGGGCCGGCCUCUAUUUUUGAAUAUAUAAUACAGGUACACAUUAUAGAACUCAAAAAGUACAAAGGAAUAUAUAUAAAAUACAAUAAAAAUUCCCUUCCACUCCUGUCUUCUGGUUUCCCAGUUCCCUUGCCAGGGGAAACCAUAGCUCUUAAUAUUCUAUGUAUUACUCUACACACACACACACACACACACACACACACACUUUUCUCCCCUGUAUACACUGUUG